rnacentral:rRNA from 1 species
UACGAAGGGGGCUAGCGUUGUUCGGAAUUACUGGGCGUAAAGCGCACGUAGGCGGAUAUUUAAGUCAGGGGUGAAAUCCCGGGGCUCAACCCCGGAACUGCCUUUGAUACUGGGUAUCUAGAGUCCGGAAGAGGUGAGUGGAAUUCCGAGUGUAGAGGUGAAAAUUCGUAGAUAUUCGGAGGAACACCAGUGGCGAAGGCGGCUCACUGGUCCGGUACUGACGCUGAGGUGCGAAAGCGUGGGGAGCAAACAGG